UACGUAGGUGGGCAAGCGUUGUCCGGAAUUACUGGGCGUAAAGGGCGCGUAGGCGGCCUGCUAAGUCGGACGUGAAAUCCCUCGGCUCAACCGGGGAACUGCGUCCGAUACUGGUUGGCUUGAAUUCGGGAGAGGGAUGCGGAAUUCCAGGUGUAGCGGUGAAAUGCGUAGAUAUCUGGAGGAACACCGGUGGCGAAGGCGGCAUCCUGGACCGAGAUUGACGCUGAUGCGCGAAAGCCAGGGGAGCAAACGGG
rnacentral:rRNA from 1 species